UCCUCCCAUGUUUGUGGUAACACAGGAUACAGCAAACCUAGCAUAACGUGCAGAGUAUGAUACACAAUGUUUGAAAAUUAUAAACAACUGUGUUACAGAUUUAGGUAUUCACUGUACAUCAUUUUUAUUUUGCAAAAAUAAUUUGCAGUGGUUUGCUGCAAAAUGCUGUGUUGAGUUGUCACUAGAUGGACAGCAAGAACCCAUGGAUCAUCUUGUGAGAUUUGCUGAGUUUUGCUGGGCAGCAGGUGCUGUUUUUCCUGCAUCACAAAGACCCCUGUGUUCACCUGGAAACACAGGGCUGUGACCGUGGCUGCCCAUCUGACAAGUACUGACAACUUUGGAAAGCACAGGAAGAGAAGAGAGAUGCCUCUCUGGCUUAGAAAGGGGCCUUUCUCUGUGGCAGGGGAAAUCGCAAAAGUGACUGCUGGCUGAAGGACAUGAUGCACCCAUUUUCAAAUCAUAUAGAGAUGGGUAAAAAAGAGAAAGGAAAGGAGAUCUCAGAUAUCACGAAACUAAGCGAUGAAUAAUGAAAGUACCAGUUACCCACCCGA